UCAUGGGCUUCCAGAAGUUCUUCCCAAUCCUGGCUCUCAGCAUUUUGGUCCUGUACCMGGCAGGCAGCCUCCAUGCAGUGCCAUUCAGUUCCACCUUGGAGAGCAGCCCAGACCUGACCACACUCAGUGAAGAGGAAGCACGCCUCCUGCUGGCUGCACUGGUGCAGGACUAUUUGCAGAUGAAGGCCAGUGAGCUGCAGCGAGAGCAGGAGACAGAGGACUCCAGCCUGGACAGCCCCAGAUCUAAGCGGUGUGGUAAUCUGAGUACCUGCAUGCUGGGCACGUACACGCAGGACCUCAACAAGUUUCACACAUUCCCCCAAACUGCAAUUGGGGUUGGAGCACCUGGCAAGAAAAGGGAUAUGACCAGCGACUUGGAGACAGAGCACCGUCCUCAUUGUCACUGCCCAGAAGAGAGCCUGCAACACUGCCACCUGUGUGAGCCAGCGGCUGGCAGGAUUGCUGAGCAGAUCAGGGGGUGUGGUAAAGGACAACUUUGUGCCCACUGAUGUGGGUUCCAAAGCCUUUGGCCGGCGCCGCAGAGACCUUCAGGACUGAACAGUUUUGAAUGGACCCAGGAAGAAGGUCACAAUGAAGCUAAACUCCACUUCUUUUAAUGUGUAAUGAAAGCAAUGUAUAAAAAAGUUGCCAUGGAAGAUAUACAUAUUUGCAUCCUUCUUGAUAUGGAAAACUACCUUCUUCAUUUGAAAGAAACUAAAGCUGAGUGCAGAAUAAGCUCAUUGCAAUUAUCUAUUGUACAUCAUUUUUAUAUUUGAUUCUGUAUCUAAUAAACAUGACAGCAUGUCUCAUUGGCUUAUCUGAUGGCAAAUCUGGUCCUCAUCAGCCAUUCUGUUGAUGUGGAAGCUCUGCUAAACCUCAGGGGGACAUAAAAUCACUGCCUCUUGGGCAUUUGGGGACACCUGGUAAUGUUAUGCCUUGAUGGAACUAUUUGUUUAAAGAAAUGUCAGUGUUGUCGUGAACUUCAUCAAAAUUUUAAAAAAUGUAUUUUCGAUACCCUU